rnacentral:lncRNA from 1 species
AUGGACACCGAGUCCACCCACUCUGGCUACUCCAACAGAUCCAACAGACAUGGGGAGCAGAGUCGGCGUGAGCGGCGUAAGCUCAGCAGUAAGGACAGCAGCCGGUCAGAGCGGUCUGUAAUCAUCAACAGCCCCUACGGGCCCACUCAGGCCUCCCCCAACCACAACAGCGAGCCCCUGCUAGAAGUCCCCAGCUCUGUGGCUGGAGACGAGGCUCCAAGCCUCCAGGUAAGCUCCAACCUAACAAAUCAAAACUCACACAAACCAUGCCUGAGAGAUUCAAAAAUCCCUACAUAACUAUACUGUACAGUGCAGCACUUGCUUACAGGAACCCUGUACAGAAGCCAUCUCCCAACCAAUCUCCUUCUCGCAGAGUCAAGCAGGGAACCAGCUGAGUCGCGCACCAUGCUGUUUUAAACUCAAACAUCUGGGCCCAUCAUAAUCACCAUAGUGACAGGGUCAUAGUCACCAUGGUGACUGGGUGCCAAAUAGGUCAGAGGAUUUGCAAAUCUCCCCUUGGCCUGUGCAAACUAUAUUUCCCAUUCUUUGUAAUUGCGUGUGUUUCUGUGCUGUGUGUGUGUGUGGGUGUAGUAAUGUGGUUCUAUGUGUAAUCAUUCUGUAUGUGGGUCAGAAUGUGUCUUGAUUUAAAUCCACAUAUGGUUAUCUCUGGAAGCAAGCCUAUGAUUUAGAUGCUCUGACAAUGGGGUUGAGAUUUAGCUCUGGGCUAUUGAAGCUAGGGUCAGAAGGCUAGAGACUGGCUAUAGAGGUAGAUGGAUCAAGUGAAGGAGACUGCUGCAGAGAGAGGGGGAGGGAGAGCGAUAGAUAAAGAGCGAAAUGGUGAUAGUUAUGUUAGGAGGAGUAUACUCUGUCUCGUGCCCUGGGCUCCAUUCACAUACUCUCUGACCUACUUGACUUUGUAAGUGGAAGGUCGUGUGUGUGUGUGUGUGUGUGUGUGUGUGUGUGUGUGUGUGUGUGUGUGUGUGUGUGUGUGUGUGUGUGGAUGCAUAAAGCAUUUAUGAGCCUACAUGUGCAUGAAUGGUCUAUGCAGCAAGUAGUGCAGUACCAGCUACAUCUCAGCUGCAUUACCGAAGCACUGCUUACAUUUAUACAGCUACAAACAGUGUCUGUCUGUCUAGCCGUCUGUCUGUCUGUCUCAUUCCAUGUCUCUUUGUAUUUGGAUGUUUGACUCGGUCUAGCGUGCUGCAAACAUUCCACAUUGUGGUGUCAUUGUAAGCUUGUGGCUUACAGACCCAUUGUCUGCAAUGUUGUUCAGCCACUGUCUACCAACUAGUGUAAAAGGUCAUCUGUAAUCAUAUCACAUGACCAUUACAGUGCAGUGCUUCCAAAUGGCACCAACCCAUCCCUGACACUGCUUUAAGAGCAAUGCUCUUUCAAAUGGAUAUGGCUAAUGCUAAUAUAAUCUGGCACAGAGGAAUUCACAUACUGUAGGCUGAGAUUAGCUUUAGCAUGCAGCCAAACACCACUCUAAGGAAAGCUGAUAUCGAUAAUCCAUGCAUGCCUAUGAUCUGUGUGUGUGUGUGUGUGUGUGUGUGUUGUGUGUGUGUGCGCUUGCCUGUGUCUGUGAGUAGUGUGUACUGUCGGUGUCUGUGUGUGAUUCAUAGAGAGGUUGCCAACAGUGAAUGUCUGUCGGGUGAAAAUAAUGUCAUAAGGCUGUGUUCUGUGUCAUGGUACUGUUGUGUUGUGCCUGAAGGCUAUGGGGUUGGCAUUGGCCUCUAACACGCCUGCUAAUCUACUUCACCUGGCAGUGUGUCACAUGAUGCAGGGCUGAGGCUUUUGGAAGUAGUGGAAACAAAUAGAAUUGGGAAUGUCUUUGCUCUUUUGUCCUUUUGGCCUCGCAAACAUACACACACAAAUACAGUACAAAUGUCAGACAAACCUCUAGCCGUACCAGUGAGGUUCCUUUGUGUGCCACUGAAUGUCAUUGUUCUUUUUCCCAGUAUACCAAUGUGAAACACACACACACACACGUCAGAAUAACCUCCAGUCAUACCAGUAAAGCUCUUUUGUGUGUUGGGUUAGUAGGUUACUGUAUGUGUCUGUGAGCGAAGCCUGUUAGUCAGUCAGUGUUAGUGUGUGUUGUGUUUAGUGUCAUAUUAUAGUGUGUAACAGGCCUAACCAGGGCUCUGAAUACUAUCUAUAUUCACUCUCCACCAGAGGACAGGGCUGCCAAGCAAGCAUCAAACACCACCCAUCUCUAUUUAUUUUCUCUUUCUCUCCCUCUCUCAUUCCCUCUUUUUCCUUUCUUUCUUUCCUUCUUUCUUUCUUUUCUUUCUUUCUCUGUGUGUCUGUUUCUCUAACUGUGUCUCUGUCCUUCUCUGCCCCCUCUUCUCUGCUUCUCUGCCUUUCGGUCUGUAUAACAUGGUACAUUUUGAUUAGUUUUGAGUUAAUCUGUGGGAUUAAACCACAGAGUGUAAAUGAAGAGCGUUUAGCCUGCAUUUGCUCUACCAUUGCUACAGAGAGGCUCAUUAGUUAUAUGUACCAUGCUUUAAGAGAUGUUAGAUAAUAUAUAGGCCGUGUUCACUGAUCUUUAACAUGGAGAAGAGUGAGAGCACAUUAAGAUAAUGUAUGUAACAAUGGGAGACAUCAGACAGGACAGAGUUAUAUGAUCUAAUAGGUUGUAGGUGUGAUUAACACUCAGAGCCCCAGAAUUCCAUAACUACUAGAAUGGCAAUGAUGGUCAUUCUGACCGUUGAUAUUUCAAUUAUAUAAAUAUUCCUUAAUAAAUUGCUAAAUGAAUGCAUGUAUUAUGUUAAAAUAGGUUCUAAGAUUCCUCAGGACACCAAAUGCAAAUUAGAAAAUGUAUUGAUUGAUCCAGAAGCACAUGGAUUGUAAAUACUAAAAUAAUAAGAUAGUGUAUUUUCUGACUGCAAAACAACAGUUGCUGGCCCGUCCAAACUACACCUAAACUGUAUUAAAACUAAUUUCACAUAUAAUAAUAAUAAUAGAUGUGGCCUAAAACAAAACAAAAUUAACCACAAACCAUGUGUAACCACGCCAGCCCAGGACCACCACAUCCGGCUUCUUCACCUGUGGGAUCGUCUGAGACCAGCCACCGGGACAGCUGAAGAAUUUCUUCAUAAACUGUCAGAAACUGUCUCAGGGAAGCUCAUCUGCAUGCUCUUCAUCGGGAUCUUGAACUGACUGCAGUUCAGCGUCGUUUGCUGUUGUCAACAGAGUGCCCCAUGGUGGUGAUGGGGAUAUGGUAUGGGCAGGCAUAAACUACGGGAAACGAACACAAUUGCAUUUUAUCAAUGGCAAUUUGAAUGCACAGAGAUACCGUGAUGAGAUCCUGAGUUGUGCCAUUCUUCCACCGCCAUCACCUCGUGUUUCAGCAUGAUGAUGCACAGCACCAUGUCUCAAGGGAUCUGUACACAAUUCCUGGAAUCUGAAAAUGUCCCAGUUCUUCCAUGGCCUACAUACUUACCAGACAUGUCACCCCUUUGAGCAUGUUUGGGAUGCUCUGGAUUGUCGUGUACGACAGCGUGUUUCAGUUUUCGCUAGUAUCCAGCAACUUCGCACAGCCAUUGAAGAGGAGUGGGACAACAUUCCACAAGCCAAAAUCAACAGCUUGAUCAACUCUAUGCGAAGGAGAUGUUGCAAUACAUUUUAGUCAUUUAGCAGAAGCUCUUAUCCAGAGUGACUUACAGUAGUGAGUGCACACAUUUUCAUUCGUACUGGUCCACUGUGGGAAUCGAAUCUACAAACCUGGCAUUGCAAGUACCAUGCUCUAUCAACUGAGCCACAUGGAACCACUUAAAUUAGGCAAAUGGUGGUCACCGACUAGACUAGACUAGAUUACUGAUCCACACCCCUACUUA